rnacentral:rRNA from 1 species
GACGAACGCUGGCGGCGUGCCUAAUACAUGCAAGUCGAGCGCAGGAAGCCAUCUGAACCCUUCGGGGGGACGACGGUGGAAUGAGCGGCGGACGGGUGAGUAACACGCAAAGAACCUGCCCAUAGGUCUGGGAUAACCACGAGAAAUCGGGGCUAAUACCGGAUGUGUCAUCGGACCGCAUGGUCCGCUGAUGAAAGGCGCUCCGGCGUCGCCCAUGGAUGGCUUUGCGGUGCAUUAGCUAGUUGGUGGGGUAACGGCCCACCAACGCGACGAUGCAUAGCCGACGUGAGAGGGUGAUCGGCCACACUGGGACUGAGACACGGCCCAGACUCCUACGGGAGGCAGCAGUAGGGAAUCUUCCAAAAUGGACGAAAGUCUGAUGGAGCAACGCCGCGUGAACGAUGAAGGCUUUCGGGUCGUAAAGUUCUGUUGUAAGGAAAGAACAAGUGCCGCAGGCAAUGGCGGCACCUUGACGGUACCUUGCGAGAAAGCCACGGCUAACUACGUGCCAGCCGCCGCAGUAAAAC